UCAAAACUUUCAACAACGGAUCUCUUGGUUCUGGCAUCGAUGAAGAACGCAGCGAAAUGCGAUAAGUAAUGUGAAUUGCAGAAUUCAGUGAAUCAUCGAAUCUUUGAACGCACAUUGCGCCCUCUGGUAUUCCAGAGGGCAUGCCUGUUCGAGCGUCAU
rnacentral:rRNA from 1 species